AUACUUACCUAGCAGGGGAGAUGCCAUGAUCAUGAAGGUUGUUUUCCCAGGGUGAGGCUUAUCCACUGCACUCUGGAUGUGCUGACCCCUGCAAUUCCCCCAAAUGUGGGAAACUCGACUGCUUGAUUUGUGGUAGUGGUGGGGAACUGCAUCUGUGCUUUCUCCUG